GACGAACGCUGGCGGCGUGCCUAAUACAUGCAAGUAGAACGCAGUUGCGCACGGGUGAGUAACGCGCCGGUAACUGCCUGGUAUCGGGGGAUAACUAUUGGAAACGAUAGCUAAUACCGCUUACUACCAGAUGGAUCUGCGUUGUAUUAGCUAGUUGGUGAGGUAACUGCUCACCCAAGCAAAGAUGCAUAACCGAGCGGGGAGGGGGAUAGGCCACACUGGGACUGCGGCACGGCCCAAGCUCCAUCGGGAGGGAGCAAGAGGGAAUCCUCGGCAAAUGGGGGAACGCUGGCCGAGCAACGGCGCGGGAGUGGAGAAGGUUUUCGGGUCGUAAAGCUCUGUUGUUAAGGAAGCGGUACUUAACCAGAAAGGGACGGCUAACUACGUGCCAGCAGCCGCGGUAAUAC
rnacentral:rRNA from 1 species